GGGGUGGGGUCCCUCGGAGCCGGCGCUUCGGCCGAAUUGACGAGGGCGACCUUGCGGGGUGCGUUGGCGGGCGCAGCCAGCGAAGCUGCGUCCCCACCGGGCUAAGAGUGGCUCUUGACUCUAGAAACCACGGAGAAUUCCUUCGCUCAACGUUGCUCUGUCAUCUCGGGUGUCCCAUUUCAGGCCCUGGGCCUUCGUCGAUCUGUCCAGUAAAUUUAAUUUUUCGGUAUUUGUUUCAACCUUCUUGGUUUUUUUGGCAUGGGUUAUUGGCAGUCAUUCGACAUAGGAAGAGUGUUGAAGUGAGCCAGCACAGUGGGUAACACAGCAUCGAGGAAUAAACAGAUGAAGGACUGAGGAAUUUAACCUGCCAGAAUCUUGAACUGAGUGAGCCUCGGAGGUUAGGACAUCUAAGCGUAGGCUUUCAAACCCUGUCUGCAAUGGGUUAUUGACAGGAAAAACUUGGUUGUGAAAUGUCAGCUUCCUAAGAUCACUGUUAGACAAGAUGGAAGAAGAAGAACUGGAAUGUCCAAACUCUUCCUCUGAAAGACGCUAUUUUCCUGAAUCCCUUGAUUCCAGUGAUGGGGAUGUGGAAGGGGUCCUGACAUGUGAGGAUUUGGAACUGAACCCUUUUGAUGGAUUGCCGUAUUCAUCACGUUACUAUAAACUUCUGAAAGAAAGAGAAGACCUUCCAAUAUGGAAAGAAAAAUACUCCUUUAUGGAGAAUCUUCUUCAAAAUCAAAUUGUGAUUGUCUCAGGAGAUGCUAAAUGUGGCAAGAGUUCUCAGAUACUGUACUGAUGAUAUGUUGCAAAGAGAAAUGAUGUCCAAUCCUUUUUUGGGUAGCUAUGGGGUCAUCAUCUUAGAUGAUAUUCAUGAAAGAAGGAUUGCAACAGAUGUGCUACUUGGACUUCUUAAAGAUGUUUUACUGGCAAGACCAGAACUGAAGCUCAUAAUUAACUCCUCACCUCUCCUGAUCAGCAAACUCAGUUCUUAUUAUGGAAACGUGCCUCUCAUAGAAGUGAAAAAUAAACACCCUGUGGAGGUUGUGUACCUUAGUGGGGCUCAAAAGGAUUCUUUCAAGUCUAUUUUACGCCUUAUCUUUGAAAUUCACCACUCCGGUGAGAAGGGUGACAUUGUAGUCUUUCUGGCCUGUGAACAAGUAAGUGAUAUUCUGACCUAACAGAGUAUGUAAUAAGGUAUUUCAUUUGGAGAGCUUUUAAUAACUAACAGAGUUUCCAUUUGCUAAUUAACUGUUUAAAUAUUUGGCUUCAUCACACCUCAUUUUUUUACACUUAAAAAGCAUAGGUAGGGUAAAUUAAACCCGCACUACAAAGGGAACAAGGAAUGUUGGUAAAAUCAUCUGCUAUUUUGGAAACAGAAUGAGGCAGCAUCUCCAGGAGUUUGCAAAACUGAUCUCCAGGGCCAGCUUUCUGCCCUGGAGGACUGGAUUGCAGCCACCCUAGGGCACAGCUGCCAGUCUGCAACCUACUGUGCGUUGUCGCCUCUCAGCUUGGUAGACACAUGGGGACUUGGCACACUCUCAGCUGCCUCCUCCUGACCAAGUGCAUUUGUUGGAAAUCAGGAAUCUAACCUAAGCACUUGGCCUAGAGUUAAGCAAUGACAAAUUUCCUAUGUCCCUACAGUAGUUAGUAGAGUAUGGGGCAGAACAUAAUUUACAGCAUUUCCCAGAAGCCCAUCUCCCUAAACUGGAGCUCUUUUUCUUAAAAAAUAAGUGAGAAAAAAAUCUUAACUUGGAUUUCUUACAAACUUCUCUUCACAGGAAUGCUUCAGAAUGUACAAUUGAACUUCUAUCCAUUCUGUUAGUGCUUUUCUACAGUCAAGGUGCCUUUUGUUUUGUUUUUGUUGUUUUGGAGGUUUUUGUUGUGGUUUGGUUUGGUUUUGGUUUUUUGAGACAGAAUUCGCUACGUACAUAGUUCAGACUGGCUUUGAACUCACUAUAUAGCCCAGGCUAGCUUUGUACUUGAGGUGAUCCUCCUGCCUCAGCUUCCCAAGUGCUGGGAUAACUGGCAUGCACCACUAUGCCUGAAUUUAAGGUGAUUUUUGAAUGUCUUUUUUUUUUUCUUAAUUGCAGCUACACUGAUCCUAUCUCCUUCUGUGGGCAGAAUCUAAAAGCUUCCAGGAUCACCAGAAUGAUACCUCUCAGAGACUAAUUGCCUGGCCCUUUUCCCUUCCCGUCUUCUUACAGAGUAAAAGGACUAGAUUCUAGAUCGUGACUCAAAUAUGUAGUGAUAAUAGUGAUUAAAGAGAAACUAGCAAGGAAAGUGUUUGGUACAGGCUGAGCCACCAGCUGAAUGGAGAUGAGCAUCUCAGCUGCCUGUCAGCCUCACUUGUGCUUCCAGCAGCAGCUCAGUAGCUGUGCUGCUCCUCCUCAGAGCAUAGCAAGACUGAUCCUCCUAGUGUGAGGACUUUAAAUAUUUUUCCUACCACUUAAACUUUGUCUGUCUUCUUAAAGAACAUUAUUUAGAAUCUCAAAUAUAUGCUACAGCAAUUUUUUGAAAAGAGAUGAUACAUAUUCUCCUGAAUAGUAAUCUACUUCUAUAGUGAUUUAUUCUAUUACCAUUCCCUAACUCCGUGAUUUAGGAUAUUUAAGAAAGUCCUAAGGAAAGUAAUAAAAUGACUAAGGAAGCAGAAAAUUUAUGAGAAAAAUUAGGACAUCCUCCGUGUAACUGAGUGAAGCCUAAGUAAGGGAAGAAUAGCAAAAUUAUAAAUCUAAAAUAUUUGAGAAUUAGAAUUGCCAGGUUUAAAAAACCCAUACAUUUCUGCAAAAAUAAAAAAUGUAAUUAAUACUCAUAGGAAGAGUAAUCAGAUUCAUCUUUCAAGUGAAAGUAGACAAAAAUUACAAAAUGAAUUUUUUUUUUGGGUACUGGGAAUUGAACUCAGGACCUAGCACUUGUGAGGCAGGUGUGGCACCACUGAGCUAGAGCCCCAGCCCACAAAAUGAAUUUUUGGAAAAUAAAGCUUGUUCACAGAAUUGGGGUCGUGGUUUCUUAGACUAUUUGAUUCUUAUAAGUGGAAUAUAAGCUAUAAAUUAAUGGCAUAAUCACUUUGGAACUGUUGGUCUUUAGAAGAUAUAUUUUCACCAAGCCUGGUAGUGGAAAUCACCAAAAUUCACAUACUGCCUGCCCUGUGUCUUGGUACUUAACUGAGACUUAGAGUCCUGAAUGUUUACAGUGUAUUGUUCCUUAUCACUGAGCCAUCUGAAAACAAACAGUGAAAUAAGAAAACCUAAGCUGAGAUUUUAUGGUAGUGUCUAGCCAUAUUACUGUGCUAUCACAAAGGUGGUGUUAUUAGGUUAGAAUUUUCCUGGGAAAUGAGCUGUGAUAUUAGGGGUCAUAUUUCACUUUGGGAUCCAAAUAUAUGCUGGAUGUCUUCCUUCCGAGAUAUUGCUGAUUUCCAUAGCUGUGCAGAUAAAGGAAAGUUCCACAUAAGUAAACACAGCCCCCACAUUGAGUAAGAAUCUAGAAAACAAACAAAACUUAUGAAGCACCAAAUGCAUAUUUUUAGCAUUUUUCAAUUUCUGAAGAUUAUUACCUCAAAGCCCUAUAUCAGCUAUGUUUAAGGAGUCAGAACUGUAUAUAAUAGCUAUUUUUGUUUCAUUCCACUUUCAUCUUCUGAAGACUUCUUUUCCCCCCAGUUUGGAACAAAAUCCAACAUUCAAACCCACAUACAACUUAAAAGUUUUAGUGACUAGAAGCAAAUAAAAAAUUUCUUGCCGCAAUUAUUUUGACAAUAUUCUAAAAAGAAGAAUGAAUACUUUGGUACACUUUGAAGGUUAAUUGUGAUAGGAAAUUGUUCACGAGUGGGCUGCUGGAGUUGAGGCUUGUUUUCCAACUUCAGCUUCUCUGUUGAAGAUUUAUUUAAGAAAGUCCUAAGGAAAGUAAUAAAAUGACUAAAGAGGCAGAAAAUUUAUAAGAAAAAUUAGGGCAUCCUCCAUGUAACUGAGUGAAGCCUAAGUAAGGGAAGAAUAGCAAAAUUAUAAAUCUAAAAUAUUUGAGAAUUAGAAUUGCCAGGUUUAAAAAACCCAUACAUUUCUGCAAAAAUAAAAAAUGUAAUUAAUACUCAUAGGAAGAGUAAUCAGAUUCAUCUUUCAAGUGAAAGUAGACAAAAAU
rnacentral:lncRNA from 1 species